GUCAUAUCGGAGUUGUGGGGGUGUUCCGGCAGAUCAGGCGAUUACGUGUAUCCGGCCGGAGAGGGCGUCCGGCCCCUCUGGGACUGAGUCACGGCCCAGAUUCGUGCGUGAGGCAGCAUUGGGGAAUAUUCCGCAAUGCGUGAAAGCCCGAGGCAGCGGCGCCACGUGGGGGAGGACGUCCUUCGGGUUGUAAGCCUCUUUUACCUCCAACGCAGGCUCCGGGUUCUCUCGGGGUUGUCGGUAGGUGGGGAAUAAGGACCGGGUAUCUACGUGCCAGCAGCCGCGGUAAUACGUAGGGUCCGAGCGUUGUCCGGAAUUAUUGGGCGUAAAGAGCUCGUAGGCGGAGUGUCGCGUCUGCUGUGAAAGACCGGGGCUUAACUCCGGUUCUGCAGUGGAUACGGGCAUGCUAGAGGUAGGUAGGGGAGACUGGAAUUCCUGGUGUAGCGGUGAAAUGCGCAGAUAUCAGGAGGAACACCGGUGGCGAAGGCGGGUCUCUGGGCCUUACCUGACGCUGAGGAGCGAAAGCAUGGGGAGCGAACAGGAUUAGAUACCCUGGUAGUCCAUGCCGUAAACGUUGGGCGCUAGGUGUGGGGACUUCCACGUCCGCGCCGA
rnacentral:rRNA from 1 species